rnacentral:rRNA from 1 species
CUACGGGCGGCACCAGUGGGGAAUAUUGCACAAUGGAGGAAACUCUGAUGCAGCAACGCCGCGUGGAGGAUGACACUUUUCGGAGCGUAAACUCCUUUUAUAUAGGAAGAUAAUGACGGUACUAUAUGAAUAAGCACCGGCUAACUCCGUGCCAGCAGCCGCGGUAAUACGGAGGGUGCAAGCGUUACUCGGGAUCACUGGGCGUAAAGAGCGUGUAGGCGGAUAGAUAAGUCAGGAGUGAAAUCCUAUGGCUCAACCAUAGAACUGCUCUUGAAACUGUCUAUCUAGAAUAUGGGAGAGGUAGAUGGAAUUUCUGGUGUAGGGGUAAAAUCCGUAGAGAUCAGAAGGAAUACCGAUUGCGAAGGCGAUCUACUGGAACAUUAUUGACGCUGAGACGCGAAAGCGUGGGGAGCAAACAGGAUUAGAUACCCGCGUAGUC